rfam:Lactococcus phage BM13, complete genome.
CGACUAGACACGUCGUAAAAAGUGCAAGCAUCGUGAGAGCGACCUCGUAUAAAAGCGUA